ACGAGCAUCUUCUUCUUCUUCUUCAUUU
rnacentral:sRNA from 1 species